rnacentral:ncRNA from 1 species
CCCGCACGUCAGGGGAGUCCCGCCACAGGGGACUGAGAGGCUGAGUGGGGGCGACCCCGGUGAAGCGACCCUUUGAACCUGACCCAGUUGACACUGGCGUAGGAAGACCAAAGGCAGCUUCC